GAGAAAGUCAUAAAGGCUAUAAAGUUGGCGUGAAACCAAUUGCUGGGGGUUCGAUUCCUUCCUUUCUUA
rnacentral:tRNA from 1 species